rnacentral:rRNA from 1 species
GACGAACGCUGGCGGCGUGCUUAACACAUGCAAGUCGAACGGAAAGGCCCUGCUUUUGUGGGGUGCUCGAGUGGCGAACGGGUGAGUAACACGUGAGUAACCUGCCCUUGACUUUGGGAUAACUUCAGGAAACUGGGGCUAAUACCGGAUAGGAGCUCCUGCUGCAUGGUGGGGGUUGGAAAGUUUCGGCGGUUGGGGAUGGACUCGCGGCUUAUCAGCUUGUUGGUGGGGUAGUGGCUUACCAAGGCUUUGACGGGUAGCCGGCCUGAGAGGGUGACCGGCGACAUUGGGACUGAGAUACGGCCCAGACUCCUACGGGAGGCAGCAGUGGGGAAUAUGGCACAAUGGGCGGAAGUCUGAUGCAGCAACGCCGCGUGCGGGAUGACGGCCUUCGGGUUGUAAACAGAUUUCGACUGUGACGAAGCGUGAGUGACGGUAAUGGGUAAAGAAGCACCGGCUAACUACGUG